UGGGGAAUAUUGCACAAUGGGCGCAAGCCUGAUGCAGCCAUGCCGCGUGUAUGAAGAAGGCCUUCGGGUUGUAAAGUACUUUCAGUCGGGAGGAAGGUGGUAAGGUUAAUAACCUUAUCAAUUGACGUUACCGACAGAAGAAGCACCGGCUAACUCCGUGCCAGCAGCCGCGGUAAUACGGAGGGUGCAAGCGUUAAUCGGAAUUACUGGGCGUAAAGCGCACGCAGGCGGUUGAUUGAGUCAGAUGUGAAAUCCCCGGGCUUAACCCGGGAAUUGCAUCUGAUACUGGUCAGCUGGAGUCUUGUAGAGGGGGGUAGAAUUCCAUGUGUAGCGGUGAAAUGCGUAGGGAUGUGGAGGAAUACCGGUGGCGAAGGCGGCCCCCUGGACAAAGACUGACGCUCAGGUGCGAAAGCGUGGGGAGCAAACAGG
rnacentral:rRNA from 1 species